CCAACACUGAGUUUCUUUAAGUGGAACAGUCAGAUACUAUGAAAAGUUUCUACCAGUGAGUUUUCUCCACGCACAGUAAGUCAGAAAAAAAAAAAAAAAAAAAAAAAAGAGUUCUGCAUAUUUAACAUAAUUUAACAUCUCUACAGCCUGAGCAAUUAUCCUAAUAGCAGGGAACCAAGGCCUACUGUUUUCAAACAUCUUACAGCAUGUCCAGGAGUCCUUGGAAGAAUGCUGGAAAUCAACAACUCAGACAGAACUUCGCUGCAUCACAAAGUAAAAUUGGAGGUUGAGAGAACAACAUUAAGACAAGAGAAAGCGUGAACCCAGCAAUCCAGUUAUGUUCCUACCUGAAGUCAGGAAUCAAGGAGAAGAUGAUUACGUAUCACUGCCAGAGUCCCAUGUGGCGGGGGAACCCUCUGGAGAGAGGGGCAAAUUGCGUGCCCAUUGAGAAGUGAGUUCUGGAUGGACAAAACAAGGAAAUCCAGAAGGAUCAUGCCUUUUCUAUUCCAAAAGACAGUGCACAUCACUUUACACUCUGAAGGCUGCAUCUUGGACUUUUCCUUUGGCAGGGAACUCAUGCACCAACAAAAUGGACUGCUGUUUUGGUAGUGGUGAAACCACGUCUCUUCAACAGUAAUGACACAAUUCAGGGAACCAUCACUUUCAUAUUGCUUCAAUAGGUCCAGACAGACUUGUAUACAGUGUUCCUGAGAGCAUUCACGGGACACACCUGGCCCAAACUUUGAGAUAUUGCAGUAAUGCCAGCAUUAUUUCCAACAUAGUGAAGUUAAUACUCAGCUCCAUCCCCUGGCCAUAAUACAUCAACUCACAUGGAUGAGCAUGCCAUCCAGAAUAUGUCUUGUCUUUCACAUCACUGACACCAUUGCUGACACACACCACCCACAGCCUCACUGUGCUCACAUUCACUGUUUGGUCUCCAGAAAUGUUCAUCAAGUAUCAAUGGAUGUCAAUGUCAGUGGGUGCCAUUUUUUCCACAUGGAAGAAUUCAGCGACACACCGUUGCUUCAUAUGAACUUCCAUGUCAGAUGCCAUUGUGUCAGACUGCCUUUCUGCUGCCGUCUGUCUCACAACAACAACAACAUAUAAUGGAGUAUUGGAGGGAAGGCUCAACCUCUACUGCCAUACCGCCAAUAUCUGUCUCUGAUUUUGUGGGCCAACAUAACAAAAAUAAAAGACAUUACUUUCAGAGCAGUGUUCAUAUUUAUCAAUGUCUUCUAUGGAAAACAAGCAUACAAACAGUUAGUCAUCAUUUUAAUACUGAAAAGGAGUAAACAUGUAAACAAAGUUGGAAUUGACUUUUACAAACUUUCCCAUAUUAAGUUGUUCAGAUAAAUGCAUUAGAGCAUUCAAUCCUUGCAACACCUAGCCUUUAUUUGUUCACCCUGACCUAAUUUUCAGACUUCAAGUUUUCAUGUGUAUAAGCAAUUUAUCAUGAAUAUGUAGACUUGACUUUGUCAUACAUGUACAGAGCGCAGUUGUCAAGGAAAAAGUUCUUCAUGGAAUAAUUACCUUUAAAGAAUGGUCUUCCUUCUGCCUGCAUGAAGAUGUCUCAUUAAACCAUUAAAGCUUUCUUGCACACAGUUCCCUGUAAUACAGACCCAAACUAUUUAAAUACUAAUCUGUACUAAUGCUUUUACAUUUAAAGUAAGUAUGUUUUUAUUCCAUUUUAGACAACCAAUCCCUCUUUCUUGUCCAUAUUUACAUUUUUCUCUUACAUUAAGCUCAUACAGUUUAACACAUUUAGACAGUGAUUAUUCAUCUGAGGAAUCAAAUGUUAC
ensembl:lncRNA